CCCCGGUAAACGGCGGCCGUAACUAUAACGGUCCUAAGGUAGCGAAAUUCCUUGUCGGGUAAGUUCCGACCUGCACGAAUGGCGUAAUGAUGGCCAGGCUGUCUCCACCCGAGACUCAGUGAAAUUGAACUCGCUGUGAAGAUGCAGUGUACCCGCGGCAAGACGGAAAGACCCCGUGAACCUUUACUAUAGCUUGACACUGAACAUUGAGCCUUGAUGUGUAGGAUAGGUGGGAGGCUUUGAAGUGUGGACGCCAGUCUGCAUGGAGCCGACCUUGAAAUACCACCCUUUAAUGUUUGAUGUUCUAACGUGGACCCGUAAUCCGGGUUGCGGACAGUGUCUGGUGGGUAGUUUGACUGGGGCGGUCUCCUCCUAAAGAGUAACGGAGGAGCACGAAGGUUGGCUAAUCCUGGUCGGACAUCAGGAGGUUAGUGCAAUGGCAUAAGCCAGCUUGACUGCGAGCGUGACGGCGCGAGCAGGUGCGAAAGCAGGUCAUAGUGAUCCGGUGGUUCUGAAUGGAAGGGCCAUCGCUCAACGGAUAAAAGGUACUCCGGGGAUAACAGGCUGAUACCGCCCAAGAGUUCAUAUCGACGGCGGUGUUUGGCACCUCGAUGUCGGCUCAUCACAUCCUGGGGCUGAAGUAGGUCCCAAGGGUAUGGCUGUUCGCCAUUUAAAGUGGUACGCGAGCUGGGUUUAGAACGUCGUGAGACAGUUCGGUCCCUAUCUGCCGUGGGCGCUGGAGAACUGAGGGGGGCUGCUCCUAGUACGAGAGGACCGGAGUGGACGCAUCACUGGUGUUCGGGUUGUCAUGCCAAUGGCACUACCCGGUAGCUAAAUGCGGAAGAGAUAAGUGCUGAAAGCAUCUAAGCACGAAACUUGCCCCGAGAUGAGUUCUCCCUGAGACUUAGAGUCUCCUGAAGGAACGUUGAAGACGACGACGUUGAUAGGCCGGGUGUGUAAGCGCAGCGAUGCGUUGAGCUAACCGGUACUAAUGAACCGUGAGGCUUAACCUUACAACGCCGAAG
rnacentral:rRNA from 1 species